rnacentral:rRNA from 1 species
ACUCCUACGGGAGGCAGCAGUGGGGAAUAUUGCACAAUGGGGGAAACCCUGAUGCAGCGACGCCGCGUGAGCGAAGAAGUAUUUCGGUAUGUAAAGCUCUAUCAGCAGGGAAGAUAAUGACGGUACCUGACUAAGAAGCACCGGCUAAAUACGUGCCAGCAGCCGCGGUAAU